AGUAACACGUGAGUGACCUGCCUUUUAGACUGGAACAACUUACCGAAAGGUGAGCUAAUGCCGGAUGAGUUAUAUAAGUGCAUGUUUAUAUAGGAGAAGUUGGGGAGACCUGACGCUGAAAGAUGGACUCGCGUCCCAUUAGCUAGUUGGUAGGGUAAUGGCCUACCAAGGCGACGAUGGGUAGCCGGCCUGAGAGGGUGGCCGGCCACACUGGGACUGAGACACGGCCCAGACUCCUACGGAAGGCAGCAG
rnacentral:rRNA from 1 species